rnacentral:rRNA from 1 species
UACGUAGGGGGCUAGCGUUGUCCGGAAUCAUUGGGCGUAAAGAGCGUGUAGGCGGCCCGGUAAGUCCGCUGUGAAAGUCGAGGGCUCAACCCUCGAAUGCCGGUGGAUACUGUCGGGCUAGAGUGCGGAAGAGGCGAGUGGAAUUCCUGGUGUAGCGGUGAAAUGCGCAGAUAUCAGGAGGAACACCAAUAGCGAAGGCAGCUCGCUGGGACGGUACUGACGCUGAGGCGCGAAAGCGUGGGGAGCGAACAGG